UGUUUUCAUUAAUCAAGAACGAAAGUUAGGGGAUCGAAGACGAUCAGAUACCGUCGUAGUCUUAACCAUAAACGAUGCCGACCAGCGAUUAGGAGACGUUGAAUACAAAACACCACCAUCGGCGCGGUCGUCCCUGGCUCGUCGUCUCACGACGGCGGGCGGGGGCGGUUUAGCCCGAUGGCACCGGUGAAUGACUCCCUAGCAGCUUGUGAGAA
rnacentral:rRNA from 1 species